AGGACGCAAAAGUGCAGGAUCAAUAAUGUCUGGCCUAUUGGUUGCACCAAUAAUGAACACAGUUUUCUUAGCGUUCAUGCCAUCCAUUUCAGUGAGGAGUUGAUUCAGAACUCUGUCAGCAGCUCCCCCAGCGUCUCCCGAACUACUUCCUCUCUGUGUGGCGAUUGAGUCUAGUUCAUCAAAAAACAGGACACACGGAGCAGAUUGGCGGGCCUUGUCAAAUAUUUCUCUAACGUUGGCUACUUCCUCUCUGUGUGGCGAUUGAGUCUAGUUCAUCAAAAAACAGGACACACGGAGCAGAUUGGCGGGCCUUGUCAAAUAUUUCUCUAACGUUGG
rnacentral:misc_RNA from 1 species